rnacentral:rRNA from 1 species
AACGAACGCUGGCGGCAUGCCUAACACAUGCAAGUCGAACGGGAUCCUAGCUUGCUAGGUGAGAGUGGCGGACGGGUGAGUAACACGUGGGAAUCUGCCUUUUGGUUCGGGAUAACCGCGGGAAACUGCGGCUAAUACCGAAUGCCCUCGAGAGAGGAAAGAUUUAUCGCCAGAAGAGGAGCCCGCGUCCGAUUAGGUAGUUGGUGGGGUAAAGGCCUACCAAGCCGACGAUCGGUAGCUGGUCUGAGAGGAUGAUCAGCCACACUGGGACUGAGAUACGGCCCAGACUCCUACGGGAGGCAGCAGUGGGGAAUAUUGGACAAUGGGGGCAACCCUGAUCCAGCAAUGCCGCGUGAGUGGUGAAGGCCUUAGGGUUGUAAAGCUCUUUUACCCGAGAUGAUAACGACAGUAUCGGGAGAAUAAGCUCCGGCUAACUCCGUGCCAGCAGCCGCGGUAAU